GAGUUUGAUCGUGGCUCAGAUUGAACGCUGGCGGCAGGCCUAACACAUGCAAGUCGAGCGGUAGAGAGAAGCUUGCUUCUCUUGAGAGCGGCGGACGGGUGAGUAAUGCCUAGGAAUCUGCCUGGUAGUGGGGGAUAACGCUCGGAAACGGACGCUAAUACCGCAUACGUCCUACGGGAGAAAGCAGGGGACCUUCGGGCCUUGCGCUAUCAGAUGAGCCUAGGUCGGAUUAGCUAGUUGGUGAGGUAAUGGCUCACCAAGGCGACGAUCCGUAACUGGUCUGAGAGGAUGAUCAGUCACACUGGAACUGAGACACGGUCCAGACUCCUACGGGAGGCAGCAGUGGGGAUAUUGGACAAUGGGCGCAAGCCUGAUCCAGCCAUGCCGCGUGGAUGAUGAAGGCCCUAGGGUUGUAAAGUCCUUUCGGCGGGAAGAUAAUGACGGUACCGCAGAAGAAGCCCGGCUAACUUCGUGCCAGCCGCCGCCGUAAC
rnacentral:rRNA from 1 species